rnacentral:rRNA from 1 species
AGUGAACGCUGGCGGUAGGCCUAACACAUGCAAGUCGAACGGCAGCACAGUAAGAGCUUGCUCUUACGGGUGGCGAGUGGCGGACGGGUGAGGAAUACAUCGGACUCUACUUUUUCGUGGGGGAUAACGUAGGGAAACUUACGCUAAUACCGCAUACGACCUACGGGUGAAAGCAGGGGAUCUUCGGACCUUGCGCGAUUGAAUGAGCCGAUGUCGGAUUAGCUAGUUGGCGGGGUAAAGGCCCACCAAGGCGACGAUCCGUAGCUGGUGUGAGAGGAUGAUCGGCCACACUGGAGCUGGGACACGGUCCAGACUCCUACGGGAGGCAGCAGUGGGGAAUAUUGGACAAUGGGCGGAAGCCUGAUCCAGCCAUACCGCGUGGGUGAAGAAGGCCUUCGGGUUGUAAAGCCCUUUUGUUGGGAAAGAAAAGCAGCAGGUUAAUACCCCGCUGUUCUGACGGUACCCAAAGAAUAAGCACCGGCUAACUUCGUG